GUUCUGCAGUGAUAAUUUCAGAAAUAAAUUCACAUGUCAGACUUUGGAGAUUUUCAAAUCAACGAGAACGAAAAUUCUGUUAUUUAGCAGAAU
rfam:Glycine max cultivar Williams 82 chromosome 10, whole genome shotgun sequence.